AUUUUCUUAGUAUAGCAGUACCGAUGACUUCCAAUCAUCUGGCCCCGGUUUAACCCCGAGAGAAAAUA
rnacentral:tRNA from 1 species